rnacentral:lncRNA from 1 species
CCCCUAAUACAGCAUAUAGCAUGUGCCCUGGAGCCUGGGCUCUCUUUCUGGUGGAACGUCUCCCUCUCACGAAUAGGGGUGAUUGACAAUGUGGUUCAUCUCACAUUUUGUGACUGAACUAAUCCAGUAAAUUCCUACCAGACGGUACACAACUCAGCAGAGACCUCUCUUUUCCAGGUGGAGUUUUAUCUCCCAAAAUAUAUAUGUUUUUCCAUCUGCGACUCUAAAAACAAACGGACGGAGUAUAAUUAAGUGUGUCUCAAUAUGGUGCCAGUGUUGAAAUUGGAUCACCUCACUGGAACGAUUGAUCUCUUGCCAAGUUCAAUAAUUAAUUGACUACUUCACUGCCACACAACUAUCUCAGAACGUAAUUAUUCACCCACAAGGUGUUCAGCGUGUCUUCCUGACCUUGCACCUGUAUUUUGAUGGAGGCAGAUCCCUUCACACGGUUGCCACAUCACAUCUCUAUCCACACAGCUGGCAUUCAGCUGACGAAGAUGAACACAUCCACACAUUGAAGUGAACCCACAGGACUUUCAGUAUUAAGUUAUUGUGCUAUGCACAAUAUGUGUAAUUACCUGAACAUCUGGGAUAACUUCUUGACAGUUGUGGCCAAUCUUAAUAGAGAAUUAAAUGAGAGAAAUAUGCAGUGCUUUCAUUAACCAUCAUUACUAAAUGAAAGUCUGCGUUUAGUCAUGAUUAAUUACACGGUGAGUUUAGUCAGCCACUGACUGUAGUCUUAUAGAGUACUGGUCUGCUGAUAGGGUGAAUAGGUUGAAA